rnacentral:rRNA from 1 species
UGGUGGGGUGACUUGUCUGCUUAAUUGCGAUAACGAACGAGACCUUAACCUGCUAAAUAGCCCGCAUUGCUCAGGCAGUGCGCUGGCUUCUUAGAGGGACUUUCGGCUCAAGCCGAAGGAAGUUUGAGGCAAUAACA